rnacentral:lncRNA from 1 species
AUAUAUUAGAACUUAUAAUAUAUUAAUAAACCACAAGUGUUAUUUCUCUCAUUUAGUCUAUCCAAAUGCAUGAUGCCAUGCAACCCAAAUGGACCAUGUCGGGUUGGGUCAAGUACAUACCAGAAAUAGUUAUGGACUUAGACACCAUAUCCAAGAUUUAUGUGACCAUUCCACCGGACAGGGUGUCACACCCCAUAACCGGAACAGCGGAAACGUUCUGGGGUGGACGACGUCAUGUCAAGUAUCACAACAUAUGCAGUAUAGUAAUCAAAGUACAACAACCAUUGCAUUAAUAGUAAUAGUUUUACAUAGUUUACAUUUCAUAGAAGCAUCGAAGUAAUACAAGUAAUAAUAAAGGUGCAGCUUGGUACUAAACGGUCUUCACCAAAAGCGCCUGGGAUGUACCUGUCUAUUGCUGACCUAAGAAUACAAGUUAUUUGAAAGCGAGUAUCAGCAUUUUUACAAAUGUUGGUGAGUUCAUAAGUAUUUAGUGUCAUUUUAUUCAAAUAAUUUUAUAUAAGUAGUAGUUUUAGAGUAUACAGUGAAUUAGAGUCCUUUCCAGAAAAUCUAAUAUUUUCUAAUUAAAAGCAGUCUUCUACCAAGACUGGACAGAGUUAUGUUGUAAAAAGUAAUUUUUCACUUAACACUAUCAUUAUCAAAAUAUGGUAUUCAUUUUAAAGAAAGUAGGAGAAUAUCACGGAAAAUAACAUAUGCCUCAGCAAUGAAGACUGCUGACCAAGGCAAAAGAAAUCAUAGACUCCAGGAGAGUAUCGAAUGAUUGGUACGCCUGGCUCAGUCUAACGAAAGUAGACACAGAACCUAGACGGUAUCAAAUGAAAGAUACAGCUAGGAAGGUCUAAAAUAGUGAAUACAGACCCCAUACAAUAUCAAAUGAAAGAUACAGUUGACAAGGUCUAAAACAAUGUAAUUCUAAGAGUGUGUCCAACAUACGGUGUUAAAUAUCAUUACCUUAAGACCAUGAAAUAUAAGGUAACAUGGAGAUACUCGUAACCAUACUAAUUGACACUAGAGUACCUGACGCCCUGCAAGUGUCGGUGUAAGUAUGACAUUUUUCACCCCUUGGCUUGGUAGGCCGUGGACUGUAGCUAGCAGUCAGGGUGCGGGGGUGUCAAUCCCGUAUAGAUCUAUACACACAAUGUCCGCUCUCCCUUUACCAACUAGACAACGGAGAAGGCCGUGUCCUAAAGAUGUAUCCCCAAAUAGUGAAUUCUGAUGAAAGUGAUGGUCUAGCAGUAGAGACUCAUAACUGAACCGACCGAUGUAAAACCCAUAUGUCUAUACAUGUAUACAUGAUAUAUAACUAACGAUUAAACGACCUUCGGAUGGAUGUCCGAUCCCACCUGACCACAUCCAAACGAGAAAAAGGAAACAGGGCGAACUAGCCUUCCUAAGUCCUUUAAACAUCAUUUAUAUAUAACUAUACAAGUACAAACAUACAUUUAACCUAGUAGAAGCGUUAACAAAGUAUAAGUGCUUCACGAAGUAGAAGCGUUUCUCGAAGUAGGAGUGUUAAUAGAGUAUAAGUGUUUAUGAAGUAGUAGCAUAAAUAAAGUAGGAGUGUUUCUCGAAGUAGUAGCAUUAAUAAAGUAGGAGUGGUUCGUGAGGUAGUAGCGUUAAUAAAGCAGGAGCGUUAAUAAAUGGAAGCGUGAAUAAGUAGGAGCGUUUACAAGUAGAAGCGUAUCACGAAGUAAGAGUGUAUCACGAAGUAAAAGUGUAUCACGAAGUAAAAGUGUAUCACGAACUAAAAGUGUAUCACAAAGUAAAAGUGUAAACAAGUAUAAGCGUAUCUCGAAGAAGUAGGAGCGUUUACAAGUAGAGGCGUAUCACGAAGUAAGAGUGUAUCACGAAGUAAAAGUGUAUCACGAAGUAAAAGUGUAUCACAAAGUAAAAGUGUAUCAUGAAGUAAAAGUGUAUACAAGUAUAAGCGUAUCUCGAAGUAGCAGCAUUAAUAAAGUAAUAACAUUUAACUAAGUAGGAGUAUUAACUAAGUGGGAGUAUUAACUAAGUACAAGAUAACGGAGCAGUAGUAUUUUACAAAGUAGGAAUAUAAAAAUAUGGAAGAAAACCUUGAUGAAAACUUUGGAAAAACUUUAUACUUAAGAAAAAUCACGACUUGGUAAUCUUUUGUAAAAUCAGUUUGAAAACCUUUAAUAUUCCUUUGGAAACCUUUCAUAAACAAGUUUUAAGUGAAAAUUUGAUAAAACAUUCAGUGCGAGAGUCAAUUUGAGGAAAAGCUUUGUAAAAGUAAAAAUGUUUUUAGAAAACCAUUUACUGUAUGAUACUUGGUAAACAGUUGACAGUGUAAGAAAUCCUUGUGCAUGCGGGUUAUCAAUCACAUGUGAUUGAUAUGAUAACUAGCAUGUUUAACUUGUAUUACCCUCCACCAUAAAAACAUGUAAAAACAUUUAAAAGGUUCAUUAAGGGGUACGAACUCACCUGUUGUAAGUGGAUGCGACGAAUGUGUCGGUUGGGUGCUCGGUGUCAAGUAAAGACUUGAACACACUUAGUGACCUGUUAACAUAUGUUUACAUACAAUUAGUAUGUAUAAGACUAAUUAAGCAAGUAUACGCAUCCUAAGGUGCGGAAAACACUUUGAUUAAGUGCUAGGGGUGUCACGGGUAACAUUUAAGGGUGUGUAUGGCUUAGAUAGGGAGUUUACUCUUCAAGAGUAAACUCUUUAUAGAGUUCACGGCCGUGGGACUAACUCCCCAUCAGUUUACGGCCGUAAACUCAUGGUGAGGGUGUUCCAGGAUGCCAAAAGGUCUUAUCUCACUCAAAGAAUUAAGCUAGGUCCAAAUACAAAGUGUAUGAAUGGAUUUAAGGCAUCAAAUGGACCAUUUGAGGAGUUUACGGCCCUCAACAAGGAGUUUAUGCCCGUAAGCUCCUAUCUGCAUAUACUUUUGGUGUUUUAAGGUCUUAAGUGGUAGAGAAUAAAAUCCUAUGUGUUUUUCCAAGUCAAAUGGGGGUGUUAAGGCAUCAUUUGGGCACGUAAUGGGAGUUUACGGCCCAUAGACCAAUUCUAUGGGGGAUUACGGUCGUAAACUCCUGUUUCCUUGGUUUCUUAAAUGUUUAAAGCCUUUGUUUCAAUGGGGUUUGCUUCUAGACAUUUUCCAAGGCCAUAGGAGGUGUUUGAGGGCAUUUCUAACACUUGAAUUUGAGUUUACUCCCCAUGAAGAGGAGUUUACGUCCCAAGCAUGUUCUUGGGCAGUAAACUCAAGUUUACUCCCCAAAAGUUAAGUUCAAGGUGUUCGAAGUCCGUUCCCAUAAGUCAUUUUUCCAUAUCUAAGCCAUAGGGGUAGUUUUGAGGGGUUUUGGGGCUUAAAAACUCCAUUUAAGGGUGUUCACGGUCCAAGAGUGUUCUUGGGUCGUAAACACCUACUCUUGCCCCUAUUCGAUUCCUUAAACACGAAUUUGCAUGUUCGUUAAGCUAUACAACAAGUUAGGGUAGAUGGCUUACUCGUUUGGUGCUUAGAAUGGGCGUUUUUGGCUCGAAAAUAAGUUGUAGAGAGAGAGUGUAGACAGAGAGUGAAAAGGUUGGAAAUGAAGUCCACUCCCCCUUAUAUAGGGGUUUGAGUUGGGGCUCAGUGGAAAUCUACCCGAUAUUGCCGUUAAACGGGGCUUUUGGUCGCACCCGAUUUAGUGGUCGUAUUUUGACUUUGUUGAAACUAAAAUUUUUCAAGGGAUUAAUGAGGGUGUUUCUAAUUUAUUUCAACCCUUACUAAGUCAUUUAAAAAGUCCCAAAUUAAUUAACCAGUCCAAAAGUUGACGGACAGUUAAAUAAAAUGAGGCUUCUUAACGGAAAAGGGGUUAAAAAUGACGGAAUAAAUUUCGGGUUGUCACAUGAUCCCCCCGUUAGAGGGAAUUUUGUCCCGAAAUUCAGGUUUAGGCAACGAAGUAGGUAUGAAUGACCGAGUAAUGAGAUGAGGGUACUUCCUAUUCGGUUUGCCAUGCAAUCCUAAGUGAUCUCUGGCCUGUUUCUGUUAUUCCAACAAACCGUCACCCAUGGGAUGCGGAUUCCGUCUCGUGUAGUUAGUGAUUUCCUAUAGGUAUGUCUACGAAGUUAGGGUUCUCAAUGGUUUCUAUCAAGCUGAGGGGGAUACAAAGAGUGACAUCGGGCAAGCACUUAUCAAGUCUAAGAAGUGGAUCGAUCUGGGGUGAAGCUUGUGGAAUAUCCGAAAGUAGUAGUGGUCUGACGAGGGUUGGGCCAAUCUCCGUAAAGGAUCUUGGAUGGUUCUAAGCUCUCAGAAGGGGAGAGAUUUUCAGUACUCAGAACAUAGUGUACUUCUAUGGCGAGAUCAUCACUGGCGUGAUUGGUAUUCCAAAGUUCCAAACGUUCUCUCUCAUACCGGAAGUGUAGUCCUUCAGGUUGGUUCUUAGGAAGCUCGGGUUGUCCUUGGAUUCGCGCUUCCUGUCAAUUUGCUUUUAGAGACUUUCUAGAUCAUUGGAUGGCUUGCGUGUCUACGGAUACUUGUUUGCUGCAGAGUGUCUAUCUCAAUCUUGUGCAAAAUGAACCUGCACUUCUGAUUCUUGAGAUAUUUCUAACAGAAACCCUCAGGGUCAGGGAGAUAGGGUUUCACCAGACGAGUGUUGGACUAUCUCAGGAGGAGGUUCUACUAUUUCUGUGCGAGAUAGUAUUCGUGGAACACCUAGUAGUCUAAUGAAUCUCUAAGACAUGUUCUAAUCUGCAAGGUGUUGGUUUAUUUUAGUGUGGAAAGCGGGUGCACUUGUAUAACCCAUCGACUAACACCUAGACUGGUGUCAAGUCUAUAAUCUCAUCGGGAUCUGGGUUAUAUGGCUUAACACAACUACUUUCGCAUUUUGAUCAAGUAUUCCUGGCUGCGAAAGUUAUUCUGUGGUUCUCGGUAUUCUAGUGUUCACUUCGGAGAAUGCAGUCUAUCUUCGACGGUGAUUUCCUCCAUGCGAGAGGGCGGAGGGUUCUAAGCGCUACUCUUCGGUAACAAGGUGGACGAAGUGCCUGAGUAGUGUGAGCAUCUUCAGUAACUACACUUCCGAAGGUUCUGAGUUUUCUCGGUCUAGGUCAAAUCUAGUAAGUAUAGGGUUCCGUCACUCGGAACUUUAAUUUCAUCAUCCAUUCUUCUAAGAGUUUAACUCUUCGCAACUUUCGGAUUUCCGGGAUAUCCGUUGUGAUGCUUAAUUCAGGGGAUUAAGCGUGAAUGGAUGGUCGUAGUCAAUGUCCUUGACUCUUACGACUUAGAUUCCCUUACCAACCGAGGGUGUUGGCUACUAUGCUGGCUUAACCAGGAUGACAAAAAAUUUCGGAUUUGUGGUCAUAAUAGUGGCUCAACCUGCCGUGGUUCUCUUGACUCUAGCUCUUAUUCUAUGGAAUAGGACGAAUGGUUUUACUAUGAGGUCCGUGGUAGAGCUCAUACUCGGCUUAACCACUAAUACUUGGUGUAUGCGAGCCGUAUAUAAUUGAGGUCGGUAGGAUGUUCAGUUGUGCGAAUCCACCCCAGACCCACAACCCAAUGAGGAACAAGGAGUAGGGAGGAAGCACACAUCUUAAAUCUUUUUGAUCUCAAUUAUAUACCACUCUCAUACACAUACUCAGUUAUGGUGGUCAGUCCCAUGAGUUCUAUCCUCUGGAUUCACGAACCUGAUUGCGAGGUGCGAAGGGUCUUUUUGGGUUUCUACUGAGUAUGCUUCGGCUGGUUAUCGUCUUCUGGAAUAUCUGUAGUGUAUUUCGCUUCGGUUUCUAUCUGUCUAAGAGGGGUUACUUAACAGCGCGCGGUACCCUUCUCCUGGGUACUUCGGAAGGCUUCAGAUAAGAGUGACGACUAAUGGAUCGCAUUAGGUUUUAUUAUCUUUAUUAUGUUUAGGUUCGGAAGAACCUUUAUCUGCCGAAAUGGCUACGGUGAAAGUUCUUUUUACACAUCACUAGGGAGUUACACAUGGUUGCAUGAAGUCGAACAAUGAUUGAUAGGGUCGUCGAAGUUGGCACACUUCGACAUGAUAUAAGAUGAGGGUCAAUAGACUCAUGUGCCGAACGAGCACACAAGUUCUAGGCGUCUCGCGUUUCGUCCCGUGUAUCCCUGCCGCGGAUACUUGGACCGAUAGAGUCGGCGCGGAACUAUAGCGGGUCCUGAAUGUUUCUGAGUAGAGUACCAUUUCAUGAAUGGAUUCUCACAAGGCAUUUCUAUAAUCGCCUAACAUAUACUAGUCAUGUAUAAUUAAUGUGGGGAGGAUUGUUGACUGAGCGACUCCGCCUUAAAUCCACAACCAAACGAGGAACAGGAAAUGAGGCGGUAUUCACUCACUCUAGGUCUAUCCAUCUCAAUUAUACAUGGCCGUAACGUAUAUACUUAGCCAUUAUAGUUUUACCUAAUGAAAUUUUUAAAUUUAUAACCGUGCUACGACUUUCGCCUUAAUGGGAGAAAUAAUUACAUUUAGAAUUAGCCUUUUAAUGUUUUCGGUUAGUUAUCUGAGAUUGAGAGACGUACCAAAAUCUACCGAGUUCCUUGAUGCUUCUCCCUAAGCAUUAGAGUCAGACUCCUCCCGAGUCUUUGUUGUUUCCUUCGGUUGGACAAUCCUUCUUGAAGUGUCCAAUCUCACCACAUAGACGGAAAACUGGAUUGGCCGCCACAUUGGUGGUUGAUGUAAUAAACUCAACCGGGGUUCUGCAGACGCAAGCAGUAUGCCCCUUCAUGUUGCACCUAGCACAAAAGAGUUCCCGUCAUAUACCAUGAUGAUGGUAGCUACACUUGCCGCAGUUGGGAAGACUUCCUAGGUAUGGUCUUCUUGAAGUCAGGAUGGAAGAGCUGGCAGGGGCACUGACUGUCUCGGCUCGCUGCCCUUCAGCAGGUCCUUGAGCCGAGGUACUUCCUUCCUCGUUCUUAAACUUUCUCUCUAGUGGAGUUAGUGGAGGUUCUUGAGUGGCUGGGUAUGCAAGUGUGGGUUGUUGUUGUCAACUACUAAUAUCGGAAUUUCCGACAGAGCUCUUGCUAACAUUGGCGUUGUUAGCAUUCAGUUGAGCCAUGAUAGCUGCUACGGCUGCCGAGACUGCUGCUGGGAACGAAGCUUCAUCGAGUAAGAGAGCUGGUUUGUUUUCAGUGGAUGGGUUAUGCUUCUUCGGAGGCAUGGAUUUCCCUAUACAGAAAAGAACACAAGCUGAUUAGAGACGGUGGUUGACCCUGGAAAUAUUUUUCCUUACUGUGUUAGGCCUAAAUUUUUCCCGUGCUUCGGAGACUGGUUGUCUGAGUGUCGACCUACAUCCCUAUGAUGUAGUCCUGGUAUUCAAGGUAGGUGUAUAAGUAUCGGAAAAGGGCAUAAGAUGGGAUUCGUUCCUACUAGGUUACCUUUAUACUAGGAAAGGUUCACUCUCAGGCUUGGAAAGAUUUGAGAACAGCUCGGAACAAAGACCGCGGGAAGAAAGGCUCAUGAAGACUUAUGGCUAAAUACUCUCAAUAGAGGUGUGGGGAUCCGCUCUAAUCGUAUUACUUGCAACGGGAAAAGGCGUUUUACCUAACACAUAGCGUGAGUAGUGUAAUCACUAACUCACUAAAUUGUAUUAUUUUAUGGGUAUAUUAGCAUGAUGAAUCAUGAGGAAAAGACACUUCUCGGGUUCCAUGUACUGGUUCCCUCUGUCUACCUCGUAUCCCUGACUGGGACUGGCGUUGGUUUCCUUCGGGUAGUUACCUAGGGUUCUUUUCUCGUGAAGACAUAUUGAAUUUCUACUCCGCCUUACUUCCGAAUCCGACUCUUGGUGUCAUCACUUCAUGAUGGAUGACUGGAAAUCUCGAAAGUUUAGGCGAAUUUCUCACCGAUGUCCCUAAGAAGAUAUAGGCACACGGUGGUCUCAAUAGUCUCGACCUUAUUCAUUUAUUUCCGAACUGGAAAUCUCCUCAAUGAACCUCUUCUGGUUCUGAAUCAACUCUUCUGCUGAGUACUGAAGCGAAUAAGGUUUUCUACAGGGUUUGUGCGAGAAGGGAAAUGUCUUAAGAAUGCUAAGAGAUUAUUAACAUUUCACUGAGUGAUCCAUAUCGAGUCCUGCUACGAUUACAUACGGUAUACAAAUCAUAUAUAGCUUAGAUCCGAUAGGCCUUCAAAUAUGUGAUACUACUCUAUAUCCACAUCCCAACGAGGAAAAGGAAGUAGAGUGAAACAGCACAUUCUUAGCCUAUGGGAUCCUUAUUAUAUAUAACCUUGGGAGUAUACCCUCUGUAAUUGUAGGUAUAUCAAUAAGGAUCUUUUUAGUUCUUCACACCAGGUUAUCUAUGGAUCCUAAAAUACCCCUAUGGUAUUUUAAUUUCAUGUUUGUUUCUUAACUUCUGAAUAUGAUUUUGGGAUUAACGUGAGUCUUUUAGUAUUCCAAAAUACUCCCAUAGUAUUUUAAACUUUAUGUUUGGCUCUAGCAUUCCUAGUUGGUAAGUUUCAGACAUGUUGCAACACCACUAUCACUCCCAAGCACACGUUCAUCGCAUCUCGAAUAAAUGUAGUUGAUCAGGUUACAUUUAUUCCAGCUUACGAUUACAUANCAGCUUACGGUUACAUAACUGCCCAAGUUUGACGGUAAUGCUCAACAUUCGAAGACUUUUAUUCUUGUUCUUCUUGUGAUACUUGUGUUUAAGUGUUUAGAUUAUGGAUGUCCUUAUACUUUGGUAUAAUAUAGUUAUAUUUUAAAGUAUAAUUCUUGGUCAGAGUGUUUUAUCCCUAAGUAUUUUUAGGUUGUAUCUCUUUUAUGAAUUGAUAUACUUAGCUCACUAUAAACAAUCCUCUGAUACCAAUCUGUCACACCCCAAAACCAGAACGGCAGAAACGUUCUGGGGUGGAUGACGUCAUGUCAAGUAUCACAACAUAUGCAGUAUAGUAAUCAAAGUACAACAACCAUUGCAUUAAUAGUAAUAGUUUUACAUAGUUUACAUUUCAUAGAAGCAUAGAAGUAAUACAAGUAAUAAUAAAGGUGCACCUUGGUACUAAACGGUCUUCACCAAAAGCGCCUGCGAUGUACCUGUCUAUUGCUGACCUAAGAAUACAAGUUAUUUGAAAGCGAGUAUCAGCAUUUUUACAAAUGUUGGUGAGUUCAUAAGUAUUUAGUGUCAUUUUAUUCAAAUAAUUUUAUAUAAGUAGUAGUUUUAGAGUAUACAGUGAAUUAGAGUCCUUUCCAGAAAAUCUAAUAUUUUCUAAUUAAAAGCAGUCUUCUACCAAGACUGGACAGAGUUAUGUUGUAAAAAGUAAUUUUUCACUUAACACUAUCAUUAUCAAAAUAUGGUAUUCAUUUUAAAGAAAGUAGGAGAAUAUCACGGAAAAUAACAUAUGCCUCAGCAAUGAAGACUGCUGACCAAGGCAAAAGAAAUCAUAGACUCCAGGAGAGUAUCGAAUGAUUGGUACGCCUGGCUCAGUCUAACGAAAGUAGACACAGAACCUAGACGGUAUCAAAUGAAAGAUACAGCUAGGAAGGUCUAAAACAGUGAAUACAGACCCCAUACAAUAUCAAAUAAAAGAUACAGUUGACAAGGUCUAAAACAAUGUAAUUCUAAGAGUGUGUCCAGCAUACGGUGUUAAAUAUCAUUACCUUAAGACCAUGAAAUAUAAGGUAACAUGGAGAUACUCGUAACCAUACUAAUUGACACUAGAGUACCUGACGCCCUGCAAGCGUCGGUGUAAGUAUGACAUUUUUCACCCCUUGGCUUGGUAGGCCGUGGACUGUAGCUAGCAGUCAGGGUGCGGGGGUGUCAAUCCCGUAUAGAUCUAUACACACAAUGUCCGCUCUCCCUUUACCAACUAGACAACGGAGAAGGCCGUGUCCUAAAGAUGUAUCCCCAAAUAGUGAAUUCUGAUGAAAGUGAUGGUCUAGCAGUAGAGACUCAUAACUGAACCGACCGAUGUAAAACCCAUAUGUCUAUACAUGUAUACAUGAUAUAUAACUAACGAUUAAACGACCUUCGGAUGGAUGUCCGAUCCCACCUGACCACAUCCAAACGAGAAAAAGGAAAUAGGGCGAACUAGCCUUCGUAAGUCCUUUAAACAUCAUUUAUAUAUAACUAUACAAGUACAGACAUACAUUUAACCUAGUAGAAGCGUUAACAAAGUAUAAGUGCUUCACGAAGUAGAAGCGUUUCUCGAAGUAGGAGUGUUAAUAGAGUAUAAGCGUUUAUGAAGUAGUAGCAUAAAUAAAGUAGGAGUGUUUCUCGAAGUAGUAGCAUUAAUAAAGUAGGAGUGGUUCGUGAGGUAGUAGCGUUAAUAAAGCAGGAGCGUUAAUAAAUGGAAGCGUGAAUAAGUAGGAGCGUUUACAAGUAGAAGCGUAUCACGAAGUAAGAGUGUAUCACAAAGUAAAAGUGUAUCACGAAGUAAAAGUGUAUCACGAACUAAAAGUGUAUCACAAAGUAAAAGUGUAAACAAGUAUAAGCGUAUCUCGAAGUAGCAGCGUUAAUAAAAUAAUAGCAUUUAACUAAGUGGGAGUAUUAACUAAGUAGAAGUAUAACGGAGCAGUAUUAUUUGACAAAGUAGGAGUAUAAAAAUAUGGAAGAAAACCUUGAUGAAAACUUUCGAAAAACUUUAUAUUGAAGAAAAAUCACGACUUGGUAUUCUUUUGUAAAAUCAGUUUGAAAACCUUUAGAAUUCCUUUGGAAACCUUUCAUAAACAAGUUUUAAGUGAAACUUUGAAAAAACAUUCAGUGCAAGAGUAAAUUUGAGGAAAAGCUUUGUACAAGUAAAAACGUUUUAAGAAAACCAUUUAUUGUAUCAUACUUGGUAAAACAGUUGAUAGUGUAAGAAAUCCUUGUGCAUGCGGGUUAUCAAUCACAUGUGAUUGAUAUGAUAACUGGGAUGUUUAACUUGUAUUCCCCCCCCCCNUUGUAUUCCCCCCACAAAAACAUGUAAAAACAUUUAAAAGGUUCAUUCAGAGGUAUGAACUCACCUGUUGUAAGUGGAUCCGACGAAGGUGCCGGUUGGGUGCUCGGUGUCAAGUAAAGACUUGAACACACUUAGUGACCUAUUAACAUCUGUUAACAUAUUUUUACAUACAAUUAGUACAUAUAAUACUAAUUAAACAAGUAUACACAUCCUAAAGUGCGGAAAACACUUUGAUUAAGUGCUAGGGGUGUCCCGGGUAACAUUUAAGGGUGUGUAUGGCUUAGAUAGGGAGUUUACUCUUCAAGAGUAAACUCUUUAUAGAGUUCACGGCCCUGGGACUAACUCCCCAUGAGUUUACGGCCGUAAACUCAUGGUGAGGGUGUUCUAGGAUGUCAAAAGGUCUUAUAUCACUCAAAGAAUUAAGCUAGGUCCAAAUAAAAAGUGUAUGAAUGGAUUUAAGGCAUCAAAUGGACCAUUUGAGGAGUUUACAGCCCUAAACAAGGAGUUUAUGGCCAUAAGCUCCUAUGUGCAUAUACUUUUGGUGUUUUAAGGUCUUAAGUGGUAGAGAAUAAAAUCCUAUGUGUUUUUCCAAGUCAAAUGGGGGUGUUAGGGCAUCAAUUGGGCAAUUAAUGGGAGUUUAUGGCGCAUAGACCAGUUCUAUGGGGGUUUACGGCCAUAAACUCCUAUUUCUUUUGUUUCUUAAUGUUUAAAGCCUUUGCUUCAAUGGGGUUUGCUUCUAGACAUCUUCCAAGGCCAUAGGAGGUGUUUGAGGGCAUUUCGAACACUUGAAUUCGAGUUUACUCCCCAUGAAGAGGAGUUUACGGCCCAAGCAUGUUCUUGGGCAGUAAACUCAAGUUUACUCCCCAAAAGUUAAGUUCAAGGUGUUCUAAGUCCAUUCCCAUAAGUCAUUUAGCCAUAUCUAAGCCUUACGGGUAAAAAUCCCCCUUUAAGGGUAUUCACGGUCCAAGAGUGUUCUUGGGCCGUAAACACCUAGUCUUACCCCUAUUUGAUUCCUUAAACACGAAUUUGCAUGUUAGUUAAGCUAUACAACAAGUUAGGGUAGAUGGCUUACUCGUUUGGGGCUCGAAACGGGCGUUUUUGGCUCGAAAAUAAGUUGUAGAGAGAGAGUGUAGAGAGAGAGAGAGUGAAAAGGGUGGAAAUGAAGUCCACUCCCCCUUAUAUAGGGGUUUGAGUUGGGGCUCAGUGGAAAUCUACCCGAUACUACCAUUAAACGGGGCUUUUGGUCGCACCCGAUUUAGUGGUCGUAUUUUGACUUGGUUGAAACUAAAUUUUUUGAAGGGAUUAAUGAGGGUGUUUCUAAUUUUUUUCAACCCUUACUAAGUCAUUUAAAAAGUCCCAAAUUAAUUAACCAGUCCAAAAGUUGACGGACAGUUAAAUAAAACGAGGCUUAUUAACGGAAAAGGGGUUAAAAAUGACGGAAUAAAUUUCGGGUUGUCACACAGGGGUUGGUCCACAAAAGUGCCUCCGGACAUCCGCAAAUAUCAAAAACUAAUUCCACCUUCUCUUUCCAUCGUUUCAAGGCUAUUACGCCUCCUAUUCCAUUAAAGGUCUGAGGCUUGGCAUUAUUAAAAUCCUUAUAGGUGCAAGUUUUUACAGUUCCCUAAUUUGUUCCGUGGUUCGUGCUUCCGGUUCCCUGCCCGUUGCCUUCUCCGUUGUUUCCACUGUGAAUUUGGGCAACUGUUGCAGUGACUGCGACAGACACCAAUUCUUGGAAUGCGAGCGAGUUAAUUUCUAGGGGCGAUGUCUCGGGGUUUCCACAAGUGGGUCGUUGAGGCAUCUUUAUGUCGUGGAGUAGAGAGAUGAUUAGCAUAUAUUGCAUUCCUAGGAUAGAAUGCCACUGACCCGACGAAUCAAUUGGUGUAUUCUAAAUGAUUCCAUAUAUUAACAUAAAAAGUAAAACACAUAACACAUAACAAUGUCACAAACAAACAUAGAGCAUUUUCAUUCAUAGAGCUCAUAUUUAACACAUGAAAAUUUGCCAGAAGGCAUACAGUACAUAAUACUAUAAAAUCUGGCAGCAUGAAGACCCUAUGAGUAGUGUAGUCACUAAAACAUAGAGUCGAUGGUACAUAACAUAGUACACCUAAGAGAAACCUAAUACAAGAGAUAUUAUUGGUCCCGAUCAUACUGAGAAGUGCCUAAUGGUGGUAGCGAAAUUGUAUCCCAAAAUGUUGUGCCAAUAACUGAGCCAUCUCAUUCAUCUCUCUGAUGAUCUCAUCCCUAUCCUGCUCAACGUGCAUGGCUCGUGCCUCCAUAGAAAAUAGUUGCUGCUGAAGUGUGGCAACCUCUACUUCCAGAGAACGAUCCUCAUCAACGGGAUCCCAUGGUGGAGCAGGGUGGUCAUGGUGUGCCUCAUCGGUAGGUGGUUUGAUGGGGGCUUCAUUCGUGUCCCUAUCCUCCUCUAUGUCUUCGUCAGUCCUAUGAAGCUCAUAGUCUAUAUCAAUGUACUUGUCAGGCCCAAUGCCAUGGACUCCCCCUUGUUCUUCUUUGAGAUUCUCCUCAAGCAUCCCAUGAGCCACUAAGGCUUGAUAAAAAUGGACUCCUUGCUGAGCGUCUUCCAUGGUGACUGCAUGAGGGCGCAUGAAUAAAUUAUAUUUUAAUUACCCAUAUAGUAUAUUCUUAAGUAUUUAGGUUUGGACUUCCUAGAGUUAUUGGAGAGUAAGUUAGGCUUUUGAAUUCAUUUUCCGCUAUGAUUACUCCCAAACACAUGUUGGUCAUAUUUUGAGUAAAUAUAGUUGAUCGAGCUAUAUUUAUCCCUAAUAUGAAUACAUAACUGUCUAGGUUUAAUCAUAGUGUUCAAUUUAUUUCAGAAGCGUUUAUUAAAUAUUGUUAUGUUCUUAUUCCAAUAUGCGCACACAAGUGUGAAAUUUUUGUUUUUUUCAGAGUUAUUUAGUCCCAUUGUGUUUAUAGUUGUAUAUCAUGCAUGGUUAGAUAUGCUAGUUCACUAUAAACACUGCUCUGAUACUAACCUGUCACACCCUCGAACCGGACGGCGGAAAUGUCCGAGGGCUCGUGUGACUAUCAAUUGAAUUAUCAUCAGAAUGAUUAUACAUGAAUCAUAACACGAUCAUUGCCAAACAUUACAUAUUACAACCGACAUUGUUCACAUCAAGUAAAUUGUCUAAUAUUACAUAUUCAAAACAUAAAUUGUAUGAGAGUUUUCAUUUCUCAAAAUAUGAUUCCCAAAAUAGACUUGAAGGUUCUUUAACUUAAUGGUUACCUGAGAAUACAAGUUAUU